GUUAACUUGCUUGUGCCACAAGCCUCCAGACUUUGGAGAGGAAGCAACAGCCAAAGGAGACAUGGGCGGCGUUGAAGUGGUAGGCAAUGGCAAGGCAGAUGAACCAAGUGCUAGAGGGCUCAAAUUAGCCAUAUCCGCUGCAUUGAUAACAGCAGACCUCGGUGAAGGCAUAGCUGAUCCAGUGGAAGCAUUCACGGGACGCAAUUCUUCGAGUUUAUGAGCAAAGAAACAGACUUUACGUGCGCAGGCAAUUUCAUCUUUGCAAAGCCUUGUUCGAUACUGAGAAGGAUGCAACCAAGAUUCGAAAAUACCAUGUGCAUAAUCACAAGCAUCACCCUUAGGACAUGCACCCUUCCGAAACUCCAGGCAUGGCACACAGCUAUAAGGGUACUUCCU
rnacentral:lncRNA from 1 species